AGGCUUAACACAUGCAAGUCGAGGGGUAUGGUUCUUCGGAACCAGAGACCGGCGCACGGGUGCGUAACGCGUAUGCAAUCUGCCUUUCACAGAGGGAUAGCCCAGAGAAAUUUGGAUUAAUACCUCAUAGUAUAGCGACAUCGCAUGAUGAUGCUAUUAAAGUCACAACGGUGAAAGAUGAGCAUGCGUCCCAUUAGCUAGUUGGUAAGGUAACGGCUUACCAAGGCAACGAUGGGUAGGGGUCCUGAGAGGGAGAUCCCCCACACUGGUACUGAGACACGGACCAGACUCCUACGGGAGGCAGCAGUGAGGAAUAUUGGUCAAUGGGCGCAAGCCUGAACCAGCCAUGCCGCGUGCAGGAUGACGGUCCUAUGGAUUGUAAACUGCUUUUGCACAGGAAGAAACACUGAUUCGUGAAUCAGCUUGGCGGUACUGUGAGAAUAAGGAUCGGCUAACUCCGUGCCAGCAGCCGCGGUAAUACGGAGGAUCCAAGCGUUAUCCGGAAUCAUUGGGUUUAAAGGGUCCGUAGGCGGUCUGGUAAGUCAGUGGUGAAAGCCCAUCGCUCAACGGUGGAACGGCCAUUGAUACUGCUGGACUUGAAUUAUUAGGAAGUAACUAGAAUAUGUAGUGUAGCGGUGAAAUGCUUAGAGAUUACAUGGAAUACCAAUUGCGAAGGCAGGUUACUACUAAUGGAUUGACGCUGAUGGACGAAAGCGUGGGUAGCGAACAGGAUUAGAUACCCUGGUAGUCCACGCCGUAAACGAUGGAUACUAGCUGUUGGAAGCAAUUUCAGUGGCUAAGCGAAAGUGAUAAGUAUCCCACCUGGGAGA
rnacentral:rRNA from 1 species